rnacentral:rRNA from 1 species
AGCAUAUCAAUAAGCGGAGGAAAAGAAACCAACAGGGAUUGCCCCCAGUAACGGCGAGUGAAGCGGCAGCAGCUCAAAUUUGAAAUCCGGCCCCCGCGCCCGGGGGCCCGAGUUGUAACCUGCAGAGGGAGCCUCUGGCGCCGCGCCUUCCGAGUUCCCUGGAACGGGACGCCGCAGAGGGUGAGAGCCCCGUACGGUCGGACGCCAAGCCUCCGUGAGGCCCCUUCGAAGAGUCGAGUAGUUUGGGAAUGCUGCUCAAAGCGGGAGGUAUAUGCCUUCUAAAGCUAAACACCGGCCGGAGACCGAUAGCGCACAAGUAGAGUGAUCGAAAGAUGAAAAGCACUUUGGAAAGAGGGUUAAACAGUACGUGAAAUUGCUGAGAGGGAAGCGCUCGUGACCAGACCCGGGCCCGGCGGAUCAGCCGGCGUUCUUCGCCGGCGCACUCGGCCGGGGCCCGGGCCAGCAUCGGCUCGCCGCGGGGGACAAAGGCGCCGGGAACGUGGCUCCCCCGGGAGUGUUACAGCCCGGCGCGCAACGCCCCGCGGCGGGCCGAGGACCGCGCAGCCGCAAGGAUGCUGGCGUAAUGGUCACCAGCGGCCCGUCUUGAAACACGGACCAAGGAGUCGUCCUCGCGUGCGAGUGUUCGGGUGCCAAACCCCUACGCGCAAUGAAAGUGAACGCUGGUGGGAGCCCCCGCGGCGCACCACCGACCGAUCCUGAUGUUCUCGGAUGGAUUUGAGUAGGAGCACACGGGGCCGGACCCGAAAGAAGGUGAACUAUGCCCGCGUAGGGUGAAGCCAGAGGAAACUCUGGUGGAGGCUCGCAGCGGUUCUGACGUGCAAAUCGAUCGUCAAACGUGGGCAUGGGGGCGAAAGACUAAUCGA